rnacentral:ncRNA from 67 species
AGCAGCAUUGUACAGGGCUAUGA